ensembl:lncRNA
CUUCAUCCUCGGUAACGCAGCGGCUGAAGAGGAUUACGCUGCUGCCACAGAAACUUAGAGGGGUGGGGAGUCUAGAGGAGAAAGGGACUGCGAGGCGAUUACAUCAGAACACACGGACGAUCUUCGCCUACCCAGCAGACACAAGAGACACCAGUUUUUUGAGGUGACACGGAUUCCUAAAGAAGUCCUCCUAGUCUGCAGCGAUGAUGCACCCUUUGGUCAUCGGCAUUGUGGCCGUGAACACCUCUCUGACCAUCAUCUACUGGGCCUUCAUGCUGAGUGAUGCUUACUUCAGGUGGCUCACGGAGCCAGAAGACAAACCCAAGAAGCUGGUCACCCCAGCCUGAAAGAGCCACAGUCAAUAUGGACUGACUUCAUUAUUGGGUUACUAUUUUGCGUAGUGAGCAUCAGCCGUCCAGCUUCUAGUGCUUUCUGGGGCGUCUGAUUUAGCAACUGAUCGGCUCUCUUUUUCACUUUGAGGGGACACUGAAACUAACUUCCAUUUUUUUUUUUACUCAACUGAAUGGAUCCUGCAAUCGAAAGAGAAAAACUGUCUUACAGAGCCGUUUGUGUACGACAUGCCACGCCAACUUGGAAGUCCUUUCAUUUACAAAGAAAAAAUCUAUGGAGCAG